rnacentral:rRNA from 1 species
GGCUAAGUUACUAAGGGCGUACGAUGGAUGCCUUGGUGCCAAAGGCCGAAGAAGGGCGCGGUUGACUGCGAAAAGCUGCGGGGAGUCGUCAGCAGAUUUUGAUCCGCAGGUACCCGAAUGGGGAAACCCGGCGAGGGUGAUGCCUCGUCACCGCAUGCUGAAUUCAUAGGCAUGUGGAGGGAACCGCCCGAACUGAAUCAUCUUAGUAGGGCGAGGAAAAGAGAUUAUUCCCUGAGUAGUGGCGAGCGAAAGGGGAACAGCCCAAACUCACGCUGUGUGAUAGGUUGCAGCCGUUGCAGUGUGAGGGUUGUAGGCCGCAAUUGAACCCCCUGCAAGGGGUUCGGAGAGUUGGAGAAAAGCUGUGGUUAGUAGAAGGUCCUGGAAAGGCCCGCCAGAGAGGGUGAUAGCCCCGUACACGAAAACCACGGCUCUCUCGUUGCUGUGCCUGAGUACCACGGGACACGUGUAACCCUGUGGGAAACUGGGGAGCCCACUUCCCAAGGCUAAACACCUUUGGCGACCGAUAGUGAACGAGUACAGUGAGGGAAAGGUGAAAAGAACCCCGGGAGGGGAGUGAAAUAGAACCUGAAAUCGUACGCUUACAAGCAGUCAGAGGGCUAUGCCGUCUUGCUGGGUCGGCGUGCCUACGCAAAGCGCUUUCUUCGGAAAGUGCGGCGCGCGGGGACGCUAAGCCCGCAUUAUAGGACGGAAUGCCUGAUGGCGUGCCUUUUGGAGAAUGAGCCGACGAGUUACUAUGCGUGGCAAGGCUAAGGUCGGAGGACCGGAGCCGUAGCGAAAGCGAGUCCUAACAGGGCGAUUCAGUCGCGUGGAGUAGACCCGAAACUGAGUGAGCUAGCCAUGGCCAGGGUGAAGAGAGAGUAAUAUCUCGUGGAAGCCCGAACCCACCAGAGUUACAAAUCUGGGGGAUGAGCUGUGGCUAGAGGUGAAAUGCCAAUCGAACUCAGAUAUAGCUGGUUCUCCCCGAAAUGCAUUGCGGUGCAGCCUCAGGUUAGAGUGUUGCGGAGGUAGAGCACUGGAUGGGCUAGGGGCCAAAACGGUUACCAAACCCAACCAAACUCCGAAUGCCGUAUACAUGUUACCUGGGAGUGGGACGGUGGGGGAUAAUCUUCAUCGUCAAAAGGGAAACAACCCAGACCCUCAGCUAAGGUCCCUAAAUUCAGACUAAGUGGGAAAGGAUGUCGGAUAGCCCGGACAGCCAGGAGGUUGGCUUGGAAGCAGCCAUCCUUUAAAGAGUGCGUAACAGCUCACUGGUCAAGCCGUCUGGCGCCGAAAAUUUAACGGGGCUCAAGUCUGGUACCGAAGCUAGGGCAGUGGCGCUCCUUCGGGAGUAGCCGCUGGGUAGGGGAGCGUUCCCUGGGCGGAGAAGCUCGACCGAAAGGACGGGUGGAGCGCAGGGAAGUGAGAAUGUCGGCAUGAGUAGCGUUAGCCGGUGAGAAUCCGGCUCACCGUAAGCCCAAGGUUUCCUCAGGAAGGUUCGUCCUCUGAGGGUUAGUCGGGCCUAAGCCGAGGCCAAUAUGGCGUAGGCGAUGGACAUCCGGUUGAUAUUCCGGAACCGCCCAGGUUCGUUAUGAGCGAAGGGGGGACCGGGCAGGGUAGGAGAAGCGUGUUUUUUGGCUAUACACGUCCAAGCUGGUAGGCGGGAGCGAUAGGAAAAUCCGUUGCUCCAUUCCAAACGCCGAGAAGCGAUGGAGAGUCCGCGACGAAAGUCAACGGCGAUUUCUUUGAGCCCAGCCUGCAAGAAAAGCCUCUAGCCAGGAUAUGGGCGCCCGUACCGCAAACCGACACUGGUGGGCGGGGGUAAAAGUCCCAAGGUGAGCGGGAGACCCUCUGCUAAGGAACUCGGCAAAUUAGCCCCGUAACUUCGGGAGAAGGGGUACCGCGACGCGUGCACCGGCCUUGCGCCGGGAAGCGAGUUGCGGUGGCACUGAAGAGGCCCAACCGACUGUUUAACAAAAACACAGGUCUCCGCGAAAGCGAAAGCUGAUGUAUGGGGGCUGACGCCUGCCCGGUGCCGGAAGGUUAACUAGAGGGGUUCACGCCCCGACGGGAAGCCCCGGUGAACGGCGGCGGUAACUAUAACCGUCCUAAGGUAG